rnacentral:rRNA from 1 species
GAUGAACGCUAGCUACAGGCUUAACACAUGCAAGUCGAGGGGAAACGACAUCGAAAGCUUGCUUUUGAUGGGCGUCGACCGGCGCACGGGUGAGUAACGCGUAUCCAACCUGCCCAUCGCUUGGGAAUAACCUUGCGAAAGUAAGACUAAUACCCAAUGAUAUCCCACGAAGGCAUCGGAAUGGGAUUAAAGAUUUAUCGGUGAUGGAUGGGGAUGCGUCUGAUUAGCUUGUUGGCGGGGUAACGGCCCACCAAGGCAACGAUCAGUAGGGGUUCUGAGAGGAAGGUCCCCCACAUUGGAACUGAGACACGGUCCAAACUCCUACGGGAGGCAGCAGUGAGGAAUAUUGGUCAAUGGGCGAGAGCCUGAACCAGCCAAGUAGCGUGCAGGAAGACGGCCCUAUGGGUUGUAAACUGCUUUUAUAAGGGAAUAAAGUGGGUCACGUGUGACUUUUUGCAUGUACCUUAUGAAUAGGGACCGGCUAAUUCCG